rnacentral:rRNA from 1 species
CCUACGGGGGGCAGCAGUGAGGAAUAUUGGUCAAUGGCCGAGAGCCUGAACCAGCCAAGUAGCGUGAAGGAUGAAUGCCCUACGGGUUGUAAACUUCUUUUAUAAAGGAAUAAAGUCAGGCACGUGUGCGUUUUUGUAUGUACUUUAUGAAUAAGGAUCGGCUAACUCCGUGCCAGCAGCCGCGGUAAUACGGAGGAUCCGAGCGUUAUCCGGAUUUAUUGGGUUUAAAGGGAGCGUAGAUGGGUUGUUAAGUCAGUUGUGAAAGUUUGCGGCUCAACCGUAAAAUUGCAAUUGAUACUGGCAGUCUUGAGUACAGAUGAGGUAGGCGGAAUUCGUGGUGUAGCGGUGAAAUGCUUAGAUAUCACGAAGAACUCCGAUUGCGAAGGCAGCUUACUAAACUGCCACUGACAUUGAUGCUCGAAAGUGUGGGUAUCAAACAGGAUUAGAUACCCCAGUAGUC